UUGAACGCUGGCGGCAGGCCUAACACAUGCAAGUCGAACGGUAGCACAGAGGAGCUUGCUCCUUGGGUGACGAGUGGCGGACGGGUGAGUAAUGUCUGGGAAACUGCCCGAUGGAGGGGGAUAACUACUGGAAACGGUAGCUAAUACCGCAUAACGUCGCAAGACCAAAGAGGGGGACCUUCGGGCCUCUUGCCAUCGGAUGUGCCCAGAUGGGAUUAGCUAGUAGGUGGGGUAACGGCUCACCUAGGCGACGAUCCCUAGCUGGUCUGAGAGGAUGACCAGCCACACUGGAACUGAGACACGGUCCAGACUCCUACGGGAGGCAGCAGUGGGGAAUAUUGCACAAUGGGCGCAAGCCUGAUGCAGCCAUGCCGCGUGUAUGAAGAAGGCCUUCGGGUUGUAAAGUACUUUCAGCGAGGAGGAAGGCGUUGUGGUUAAUAACCGCAACGAUUGACGUUACUCGCAGAAGAAGCACCGGCUAACUCCGUGCCAGCCGCCGCGGUAAAAGGG
rnacentral:rRNA from 1 species